UACGGAGGGUGCGAGCGUUGUCCGGAAUCACUGGGCGUAAAGGGCGCGUAGGUGGCGCGGCAAGUCAACGGUGAAAGCUCGACGCUCAACGUCGAGUCGGCCGUACGAUACUGCCGCGCUCGAGCACUGUAGAGGCAGAUGGAAUUCCGGGUGUAGCGGUGGAAUGCGUAGAGAUCCGGAAGAACACCGGUGGCGAAGGCGACACGCUGGGCCGUACCUGACGCUAAAGCGCGACAGCAUGGGGAGCAAACGGG
rnacentral:rRNA from 1 species